rnacentral:rRNA from 1 species
UACGUAGGGAGCAAGCGUUGUCCGGAAUCAUUGGGCGUAAAGCGCGCGUAGGUGGCCUCAUAAGUCCGUUGUGAAAGUCAAAGGCUCAACCUUUGAAAGCCGAUGGAUACUGUGAGACUAGAGUACGGAAGAGGCGAGUGGAAUUCCUGGUGUAGCGGUGGAAUGCGCAGAUAUUAGGAAGAACACCAGUGGCGAAGGCGGCUCACUGGCCCGGUACUGACGCUGAGGCGCGAAAGCGUGGGGAGCAAACAGG